rnacentral:tRNA from 4 species
GCGUCCGUAGCUCAGUUGGUUAGAGCACCACCUUGACAUGGUGGGGGUCGGUGGUUCGAGUCCACUCGGACGC